UGCUGCAGGGAAACACAUAGAAAGGAGGUUCAUCAAGAACUUACGGAAUAUGUGAAGCUGCGUAAAAGAUGAGGGCAGGCCCCUCGGUGUCGGCUAUCAGGAGCAGGCACCAAACCAGCCCAAGCCGCGUUCGUCAUUUUGGUUGCCUCUGUUGCACAACCU
rnacentral:misc_RNA from 1 species